UUGAAGAAUUUAAAGACUUCAACUUACAGAUUUAAAGAAAUUAAAGACUUCAACUAGCAAACAUGAAGAUUUUGAAGACUUCAUCU
rnacentral:pre_miRNA from 1 species